GCCUAGUUAGCUUAGUUGGUAGUGCGUCUGCCUUGUAAGCGCUAAGCCGCGGGUUCGAUUCUCGCCCGAGGCG
rfam:Asian citrus Psyllid, Diaphorina citri - Florida Strain, whole genome shotgun sequence.